rnacentral:rRNA from 1 species
UACGUAGGGGGCAAGCGUUGUUCGGAAUUACUGGGCGUAAAGGGCGGGUAGGCGGCCACCGCAAGUCAGUUGUGAAAUCUCUGGGCUUAACCCAGAAAGGUCAACUGAUACUGCGGGGCUAGAGUGCAGAAGGGGCAACUGGAAUUCUCGGUGUAGCGGUGAAAUGCGUAGAUAUCGAGAGGAACACCUGCGGCGAAGGCGGGUUGCUGGGCUGACACUGACGCUGAACUGCGAAAGCUAGGGGAGCGAACGGG